GACGAACGCUGGCGGCGUGCUUAACACAUGCAAGUCGAACGGUAAGGCCCUUCGGGGUACACGAGUGGCGAACGGGUGAGUAACACGUGGGUGAUCUGCCCUGCACUUCGGGAUAAGCCUGGGAAACUGGGGCUAAUACCGGAUAGGACCACUGCCUGCAUGGGUGGUGGUGGAAAGCUUUUGCGGUGUGGGAUGGGCCCGCGGCCUAUCAGCUUGUUGGUGGGGUGAUGGCCUACCAAGGCGACGACGGGUAGCCGGCCCGAGAGGGUGACCGGCCACACUGGGACUGAGAUACGGCCCAGACUCCUACGGGAGGCAGCAGUGGGGAAUAUUGCACAAUGGGCGCAAGCCUGAUGCAGCGACGCCGCGUGAGGGAUGACGGCCUUCGGGUUGUAAACCUCUCUCAGCACCGACGAAGCGCAAGUGACGGUAGGUGCAGAAGAAGGACCGGCCAACUACGUGCCAGCCGCCGCCGUAA
rnacentral:rRNA from 1 species